CCCCUCUCAGGAUUGCACCUGGUGAGUUUCUAGUACUCUAGCGGUCUCAGCUAUGGGAGGAAGAGUCUAGCAGAGGCCAUUCCAUUCCUAGCUUGGGCAGUGGCUAGCGAGUGAAAGGCAAUCUGCUACAAGU